CAAUAUUUGCAUGUAUCAAAGCUCUUAUAAAUAAGAUAAGGUAUUCCUACAUUGCUAGUAGGACCCACGGCAAAUGGAUCAUAAAGUCUUCAAAAAAGAAUAGAUACGAUUGCAUUGCAUGUAGUAACGGAUGCGAUCAUACCAGCAUUAAUGCACCGGAUCCCAUCAGAACUCUGCAGUUAAGCGUGCUUGGGCGAGAGUAGUACUAGGAUGGGUGAUUCUCGGAAAGUCCUUGUGUUGCAUCCCUC
rnacentral:rRNA from 1 species